AACCUGCCCAAGAGAUCGGGAUAACACCUGGAAACAGAUGCUAAUACCGGAUAACAACAGAUGAUGCCUAUCAACUGUUUAAAAGAUGGUUCUGCUAUCACUCUUGGAUGGACCUGCGGUGCAUUAGCUAGUUGGUAGGGUAACGGCCUACCAAGGCGAUGAUGCAUAGCCGAGUUGAGAGACUGAUCGGCCACAUUGGGACUGAGACACGGCCCAAACUCCUACGGGAGGCAGCAGGG
rnacentral:rRNA from 1 species